ACCGAGGAGUCAAGCAUUAGUGCGAGUGUUUGGGUGUAAAACCCGCACGCGUAAUGAAAGUGAACGUAGGUGAGAGCUUCGGCGCAUCAUCGACCGAUCCUGAUGUUUUCGGAUGGAUUUGAGUAGGAGCAUUAACGCUUGGACCCGAAAGAUGGUGAACUAUACUUGAAUAGGGUGAAGCCAGAGGAAACUCUGGUGGAGGCUCGCAGCGGUUCUGACGUGCAAAUCGAUCGUCAAAUUUGAGUAUAGGGGCGAAAGACUAAUCGAACCAUCUAGUAGCUGGUUACCGCCGAAGUUUCCCUCAGGAUAGCAGUGUCGUCUUCAGUUUUAUGAGGUAAAGCGAAUGAUUAGGGACUCGGGGGCGAUUUUUAGCCUUCAUCCAUUUCUCAACUUUAAAUAUUGUAAGAAGCCCUUGUUACUUUGUUGAACGUGGGCCUUCGAAUGUACCGACACUAGUGGGCCAUUUUUGGUAAGCAGAACUGGCGAUGCGGGAUGAACCGAACGCGGGGUUAAGGUGCCGGAGUGGACGCUCAUCAGACACCACAAAAGGCGUUAGUACAUCUUGACAGCAGGACGGUGGCCAUGGAAGUCGGAAUCCGCUAAGGACUGUGUAACAACUCACCUGCCGAAUGUACUAGCCCUGAAAAUGGAUGGCGCUCAAGCGUCCCACCCAUACCCCGCCCCCAGGGUAGAAACGAGGCCCUGGGGAGUAGGCGGCCGUGGGGGUAGCGACGAAGGCUAGGGCGUGAGCCCGGCUAGAGCUGCCCCUAGUGCAGAUCUCGGUGAGAGUAGCAAAUACUUCAAUGAGAACUUGAAGGACCGAAGUGGGGAAAGGUUCCAUGUGAACAGCAGUUGGACGUGGGUUAGCCGAUCCUAAGCCAUAGGGAAGUUCCGUUUCAAAGGGGCGCUAGCGCCCCGUAUGGCGAAAGGGAAGCAGGUUAAUAUUCCUGCGCCUGGAUGUGGGUUUUUCGCGGCAACGCAACUGAACGCGGAGACGACGGCGGGGGCCCCGGGCAGAGUUAUCUUUUCUUCUUAACGGCCCGUCACCCUGGAAACGGUUUGUCCGGAGAUAGGGUUUAAUGGCCGGAAGAGCCCAGCACUUCUGUUGGGUCCGGUGCGCCCCCGACGCCCCUUGAAAAUCCGCGGGAGGGAAUAAUUCUCACGCCAGGUCGUACUCAUAACCGCAGCAGGUCUCCAAGGUGAACAGCCUCUGGUU
rnacentral:ncRNA from 1 species